CAUUUAAUAUUUUGUUUUGCGACACAGAACAUGUUGUUCCAUUGGACUAUUUAGCCCAAGGCUCGAAAGAACAUAUUAUAAUACAUUCGUAUGUAACUCAUCACAUCCCUUCCAAAUUUAAAAAUAUUGGUCUUGGAAAGUUGAACUAUAUAUGACUCAGCCGUCCCUUGAGAUUGUCGGACCACCAGCGAGUGGAGUCACGAUUAUGAAACACUCGCUACACAAUGCGUUCAGACUACGAUUUUUAUUUCCGUUUUGCUUAUCUUCGAAAAGUGGGGAAAUCUCGAUCUCGAAGAAACGUCAAAAGGUAAUUGAACUCCGAAGCCAUUGCCUGGCUUGUAAAAAUUAUUCCUCGAUCAAAAUGGUCAAAUUAAAAAUGCAAAAUUAAAAACAAAAACUUAAUCAUAUUUCGGGAUGACUGUAUGUCGUAGACGUCAUUUUCACAUGACCGAAGAUAAUUAGAUCCGUUAAUAUAUUGUACUGAUGCUGCACGUGAGUAAAUUAUAAACAUAAUUUGUUAUUCCUGAUAUCUGAUAUGUCAAGUUUUAACAUGAGGUAAGCAUGAGUGCGUAUUAUAUACAGCGUGAUCAUACUCAUUAUAUCAAAAAGUAGGUAUAUGAAUGCUUUUUGAAUUUUUUUUCACAUAAUUUUAAUUCAUCACAAACAACAUUUUUGAAAAAAAUUAUUUUAUUAUUUAAUACUUUUAAGUUUAUACUUUUUUUUAUAGGUAUUUAUAACUAACUACACGUUAAAAUUUAAAAAUUGCUUUGAAUAUUUUUCCAACAAUUAUGUUUAGUGACGACUUCAGAUUGUUUAAAAAAAUUCCCAAAAACAUAACCCAGUAAAUAACGAGAAAAUGAGUGUUUAACUAACCUUUAAAAAAUCACCUUGAAUAAGUGUAUAUAUAUAUUAUAUAUCAUAAAAUGUUUUGAUGACGAGGAGAACGCGUAAUGUUAUGGAACGUGAAAUUGUCCCAAUUGCCGGGCUAUUUCUGUACUGUACACCCUCCCCCCUGACAAAACUUACUAUUAUGUUAUUAAACGGUUUUCGUGAA